UACGAAGGGUGCAAGCGUUACUCGGAAUUACUGGGCGUAAAGCGUGCGUAGGUGGUUUGUUAAGUCUGUUGUGAAAGCCCCGGGCUCAACCUGGGAAUGGCAAUGGAUACUGGCAAGCUAGAGUGCGGUAGAGGGUAGUGGAAUUCCCGGUGUAGCGGUGAAAUGCGUAGAGAUCGGGAGGAACACCAGUGGCGAAGGCGGCUACCUGGGGGCGAUCUGACGCUGAGGCGCGAAAGCGUGGGGAGCAAACCGG
rnacentral:rRNA from 1 species